AAAUUGAAGAGUUUGAUCAUGGCUCAGAUUGAACGCUGGCGGCAGGCCUAACACAUGCAAGUCGAGCGGUAGCACAGAGAGCUUGCUCUCGGGUGACGAGCGGCGGACGGGUGAGUAAUGUCUGGGAAACUGCCUGAUGGAGGGGGAUAACUACUGGAAACGGUAGCUAAUACCGCAUAACGUCGCAAGACCAAAGUGGGGGACCUUCGGGCCUCAUGCCAUCAGAUGUGCCCAGAUGGGAUUAGCUAGUAGGUGGGGUAACGGCUCACCUAGGCGACGAUCCCUAGCUGGUCUGAGAGGAUGACCAGCCACACUGGAACUGAGACACGGUCCAGACUCCUACGGGAGGCAGCAGUGGGGAAUAUUGCACAAUGGGCGCAAGCCUGAUGCAGCCAUGCCGCGUGUGUGAAGAAGGCCUUCGGGUUGUAAAGCACUUUCAGCGGGGAGGAAGGCGGUGAGGUUAAUAACCUCAUCGAUUGACGUUACCCGCAGAAGAAGCACCGGCUAACUCCGUGCCAGCAGCCGCGGUAAUACGGAGGGUGCAAGCGUUAAUCGGAAUUACUGGGCGUAAAGCGCACGCAGGCGGUCUGUCAAGUCGGAUGUGAAA
rnacentral:rRNA from 1 species